AACGAACGCUGGCGGCAUGCCUAACACAUGCAAGUCGAACGAGACCUUCGGGUCUAGUGGCGCACGGGUGCGUAACGCGUGGGAACCUGCCCUUAGGUUCGGAAUAACUCCCCGAAAGGGGUGCUAAUACCGGAUAAUGUCUUCGGACCAAAGAUUUAUCGCCUUUGGAUGGGCCCGCGUUGGUUUAGCUAGUUGGUAGGGUAAAAGCCUACCAAGGCGACGAUCCAUAGCUGGUCUGAGAGGAUGAUCAACCACACUGGGACUGAGACACGGCCCAGACUCCUACGGGAGGCAGCAGUGGGGAAUAUUGGACAAUGGGCGAAAGCCUGAUCCAGCAAUGCCGCGUGAGUGAUGAAGGCCUUAGGGUUGUAAAGCUCUUUUACCCGGGAUGAUAAUGACAGUACCGGGAGAAUAAGCUCCGGCUAACUCCGUG
rnacentral:rRNA from 1 species